rnacentral:misc_RNA from 1 species
UUAUACCUCUUUUACCGGUUUUUGUUUUGCAUUAGGUUCGCUUCUUCUACUCAUUUACUUGCCGUGAAAACUUGUACCUUGUGAUGGAAUACUUGAAUGGUGGGGACCUAUAUUCACUGUUGAGAAAUCUAGGCUGCUUAGAUGAAGAAGUUGUUCGUGUUUAUAUUGCUGAAGUUGUGCUUGCCCUGGAAUACUUGCACUCUCAGCAUGUGGUUCAUCGAGAUCUGAAGCCUGACAAUUUGUUGAUUGCACAUGAUGGUCAUA